UACGGGGGGUGCGAGCGUUGUCCGGAAUCACUGGGCGUAAAGGGCGCGUAGGUGGUUUGAUAAGGGUGUGGUGAAAGUCCGGAGCUCAACUCCGGAUCUGCCGUGCCGACUGUCAAACUCGAGGGCUGUAGAGGCAGACGGAAUUCCGGGUGUAGCGGUGGAAUGCGUAGAUAUCCGGAGGAACACCAGUGGCGAAGGCGGCUUCCUGGACCGACACUGACGCUGAGGCGCGAAAGCUAGGGGAGCAAACGGG
rnacentral:rRNA from 1 species